rnacentral:lncRNA from 1 species
CACUUGGUGAUUGUGAGCCAGCACCAAGAUCGAAGGCAUUUGGAUCCCUGGUGAUCACAGACCCAGCAUGUCAUCUCUGCAAAGCUUCCCAGAAAGUGUGGAAUAUUGGCCUUCCUUUUCAGAUUCAUGUGAAAGCUUGGAGAAAAGAACACAGACUAAAAGGAAUAUAAAUCCAAAAGAAUGAGUGAAAUGGGAAUACACAAGGCAUGAGCAAUAAGACUGUUCUCUCAGAAACAAUGAGAAUAACUGCUCUACAUCUUACAAACCAGAAACUUACACGUUGUAUCUCAUUAAAUUUUAUUUUGAAUAUUGAGAACAUUCAGUGCGUGGAUAAUAUUUAAAAGUCAUAACUCCGGAGGUAGAACCAGUUGAUGAAUAAAAAAAAACUUCUAGUCAAAACAUAAUUUAUCUAUUAUGU